rnacentral:rRNA from 1 species
AGAGUUUGAUCCUGGCUCAGAAUCAACGCUGGCGGCGCGCUUAACACAUGCAAGUCGCACGAGAAAGUGGAGCAAUCCAUGAGUAAAGUGGCGUACGGGUGAGUAACACGUGGAUUAUCUACCUCUUGGUGGGGAAUAACCCUGGGAAACCGGGGCUAAUACCGCAUAAGCCUGCGAAGGGAAAGCAGCAAUGCGCCGAGAGAGGAGUCCGCGGCCGAUUAGCUAGUUGGUAGGGUAAUGGCCUACCAAGGCAAUGAUCGGUAGCCGGCCUGAGAGGGCACACGGCCACACUGGCACUGAAACACGGGCCAGACUCCUACGGGAGGCAGCAGUGGGGAAUCUUGCACAAUGGAGGAAACUCUGAUGCAGCGACGCCGCGUGAGUGAUGAAGCCCUUCGGGGUGUAAA